UUUUAAAUUUUUGAUAAUUUUUCGAAAAAUAAGGGUUAAAAAUUUGUUUUUUCGAAUUUUAGUUCUACCAUGUUAUAGGGCACAACAUCCCCUAUAAUUUUUAUAAGUACAAUUUUUUUAUUCGAGCAUAAAUAAAAAAGUUAUGAUCAUAAAAAAGUGCCUCAAGACAAGCUUCAACAAAAUUCAUUAUAAAAUUAAAAAAAAAUGGUUUGGGGUCAAUAAAUUUCCAAUUAGGGACGUGUAAUCAUGUUUCCAAAAACAUUACAGUAGUUUUUCUAACUUUCCCGGACUAUAUUUAUACAAAAGGUGAUCAAAAUUUUUUUAUAUAGUGACAUAACCUAAAAAUGCGAUUCUAGGUUAAUCGAACCUCUUGUGUCUAAUUUUCGUUUCAAUACUAAUACUAAUAUCGAAUAGUAGACGUUCUUUUCCAAAAAUUAAACACCAUUCAUGAAUUAUUUCAGAACACCCGGUGUAUAUUUAAAUUAAUAAGCAAAAUGAAGGUAUACAACGCCCCCUAGUUUUCGAAGAGAUCAUCUAGCUACAAUUUUAAUGCUCCCGGAUAGCUUUCCAUAACGAAAUCAUGGUACACGACCAAGACGCUGCAAAAAAAUUGAUCUUCAGGAAUAUACAUGUAUAUAAUUGAAGAUAUGGGUCGAUAUAUUCAUGGAGGGCGUCGACCAAAAGUGUUACCAUCACCACCGGGAAAAAGGAGAAAUGUGGUGGGAUUGUGGUAUGCUUCCAAUUGCAGGUAACUGUUUUUUAACAGGUUGAGGGUUUUAUACAGGCAACGAAAAUUUUAUUUAUUUCUCACUUAUAAAGCUCCAACUUAUUAAAAACGGACUUGAAAUAUAAUUUUUCUUUGGUGUUACAGUGUGUUUCGAAAAUAGAGAGUCGAUAGAUGACUCAUCUAGUGGGCUGUUUCAAAUUAUACGGGGUUUAAUUGAAUUACCGUAAUACAUAAAUGAAAAUAAUGGUAUUUUGAUUAUUUUUCGUAAUUUCAUUUAAAAAAAAUGUGUAAAUGGUUAUUUUUGAAAAAUUUCUCGUUUAUUACCGAAAAUGGCGUCGAAAAUAUUUUAAUAGGGUCUUUUGCAAUUGGAUUUUUAUCCACUCGAUUAUGAUCUCUAUAGAAGGCUUGAGUUACAGAGUAAAUUAUCCAAUAUUUUACUAGAAAGUCAAAUUUUUGCGUUUAGUCCCCGUUAAUGCUAAAUAUGUCAAAUAGACUGUCUUUACGAUUCGGUUUUUCAUUCAGUUCAUUUAGGGUAAAUUACCCAUUAAAACAAUUCUAAGAAUCAAUGCUACGCUGUCAGAUGUUUAAAUCUGACGUUUAGGACCGAAAAUGCUGUCUAAAUACCUUAAAAGGUCUCGUAUAGUUCGGUUUUCCAUCCAUUUUCAGAUGAUUUUAUAAAACAUUGAAGAUAGGGUAAAUUAUUCAUUGAAAUAUUUUUCUAAAUAAAUGCUAUGAUGUCAAGUGUUUAAUAUCUGACGUUGCGGACCGGAAAUGCUUUCUAUAUAUGUUAAAUGGUCUCGUAUAAUUCGGUUUUCCAUCCCAUUUAGAAAUACUUUCAUAUAACGUCGAAGAUGGGGUAAAUUAUCCACUGAAAUAUUUUUUAAAAUAAAUGCUAUGAUGUCAAGUGUUUUAUAUCUGUCGUUUCGGGCCGGUAAUGCUGUCUGAAUAUGUUAAAUGGUCUCGUAUAGUUCGGUUUUCCAUCCCAUUCACAAAUACUUUCAUAAAACGUCGAAGAUGGGGUAAAUUAUCCAUUGAAAUAUUUUUUAAAAUAAUUGCUAUAAUGUCAAGUGUUUUAUAUCUGACGUUUCGGGCCGGUAAUGCUGUCUGAAUAUGUUAAAUGGUCUCGUAUAGUUCGGUUUUCCAUCCCAUUCAGAAAUACUUUCAUAUAACGUCGAAGAUGGGGUAAAUUAUCCACUGAAAUAUUUUUUAAAAUAAAUGCUAUGAUGUCAAGUGUUUAAUAUCUGACGUUUCGGGCCGGUAAUGCUGUCUAAAUAUGUUAAAUGGUCUCGUAUAGUUCGGUUUUCCAUCCCAUUCACAAAUACUUUCAUAAAACGUCGAAGAUGGGGUAAAUUAUCCAUUGAAAUAUUUUUUAAAAUAAUUGCUAUGAUGUCAAGUGUUUUAUAUCUGACGUUUCGGGCCGGUAAUGCUGUCUAAAUAUGUUAAAUGGUCUCGUAUAAUUCGGUUUUCCAUCCAUUCAUAGAUCGUUAGGUUUAUUUAGGGGUCAAACUACCCAUUGAAACAUGUUUUUUAUUAAACGCUCGAUUUAGGGUAAAUUAUCUUUAUAAUUAUACUUUUCCUAAGAAAUAAAAGCAACGUUACCAGAUUUUCAAUUACUUCCUAAAACUAUAAAUUUCGGCAAAAUCAUAUUCAAAAUGGUCUCGAUUGAUUUGGUUUUUAAACCAGUUAUUUUACGAGAGUUAUUUGGUUAGAUUUUUGACAUAUGUCGGUGAUCGACUAUAUUGCUGUCACAAUCUUUCAAAUGGUCUCCUAUAAUACGGUUUUUCAUCCAGUAAGUGGUAAUUUGAACAGCAUAAAACGUUUAAUUGGGGUAAAUUACCUGUUAUAAUGAAACAAUUCAUGUAAAAUAACUGCUACGUUGCCAGAUAUUUAAUUCCUGACGUUUUAACCUAAAAAUUCGGAUAAAAAAAUAUUUAAACUGGUCUCGUACAUUCGGUUUUCCAUCCAGUCAAAGAUGUUUUUAUAAAAAGUUUGAUAUAGGGUAAAUUAUCCAUUAAAUAUAUUUUAAAAUAAAAGCUGCGAUCUCUACUUUUUAAAUUUGACGUUUAUUACCGGAAAUGCUAUCAAAAUAUGUCAAAUGGUCUCGUAUAAUACGGUUUUUCAUCCAGUUAGUGUUGGUUUUAUCAAUAUAAAAAGCUUAAUUAGGGUAAAUUAUCCACUAUAAAUAUACUUUUCAUAAAAAAUAACCGCUACGUUGCCGGAUCUUUGACACCUGACAAAAAAUUCGUCUUUCCAUCCAGUAAAAUUACGAAAGUAAUUUUUACAUUAUUUCGCAAAAUUUUUAAAAUUUGUCGGUUUUAAUUUGUAAUACAGUCAAAAUAUGUCUUGAGUUAGACAGUUUUUCAAUCACUCUAAAUAUUUUAUCCCCAUAAAACGUUUAAAAUAGGGUGAAUCAUUUACUAUAAUAUCUUUUUAACGAAAAGACAGUACAGUGGAAAAAUUUUCGAUAUACGUCGUUUAAAAGUUAGGUUAGGAAACGGCGCCAUCUGUAAAUCAAUCCGGACAGUUACUAUUUCAUAAAAAUGUUACCUGAAACGUCAUUUGAGAGGCGAAAAUCAAUUUAUCGCAUUCGAAUAAUCCCCUCGUAGUAUAUUGAAACACCGAGAACGUGAUACAGGAUAUGAGAUUGUUAACUCUAAUGUUGACAGUUUCACCGGGAUCGGCUCUGGAAAUCGCCUUCUGGAAAACCACGCUGAAAGCCUAAAAAAAAACAAAUUAUGCAAAUACCAUCUUGUAAGUCAAUAAAAUACGCCUGAGAUUCAUCAGAUCUGCUCAGAAUCAUAAUAAAAACACGCUAAUUUAGCGUUGGCGUUUUGUGGAAUCCAUUUAUCUAGUUCAUUUUUCAAAUUUAUGAAUUAUAAGAAACGGCAUAUUACAGAAACCUAUUUUUUUGAGUUAUCGAUGAAUUAAGAUAACUUAACCUAACCCAACCUAAUGUAACCUAACUUUGUCUUACCUAACCCAAUGAAACCUAACCUAACUUAUUUUAACCUAACAUAACCUGACCUAUCUCAAUAUAACUUAACGUGGCAUAACCUAACUUAAUCCAACGUAACCUAAUGUAACUCUACCCAAUGUAACUCUACCUAAUGUAACCUAACUUAAUGUAACCUAACCUAUCGUAACAUAACUUAAUCCUACCUUAUCUAAUGUAACCUAACCUAGUAUAACCUAAUUUAAUGUAAACUAACCUAACUUAAUCCAACGUCAUCCUCUGUAAUCUGGUUAACCUAACUUAUCCAACCCAACGUAAUCCUUUUUUUUUGUGUGGUUUUGCGUCUCCAUCUGGAUAAGUCUGAAGAGUCACGUUGAUGAGCGCCUUCAAGCUGAAAUCCUACCAACUCGACCUAAUUUAAUUAAACCAAAUCUUAUAUAACCUAACCUUAUCUAACCUAACCUAACCUAACCUCUUCCAAGUAACUAAUAUAACCUAACUUAAUCUAACCUGAUUUAACCCUACUAGAAAAGGAUGUAAGUAAAAAAAACGUUGAAUUUUGACUUUUUUCUUACCAUACGUCUCACCACCCUUCAGACAAGCCCUAAUCCUAAAAAUAGCUCCCUUCCCAAUAUGAAAUAUUUCGUUUGAUUCUUAAAUUUAGUCGAACCGGAAGCCAACCAAUCCAAUUAUUGGCCCAAAAUGAUAGUUUCCGACAUCCGAGAGCUUGAUACAAAGUCCACGAAAACGCUAAACUAAUGUGGUUUAUAACCCUCGAACGAAUAAAAAAACUGAAGUAACGUCAUAAAUUGUUCAUUUAAACCGAAUAGGAAGUCAGUUACUUUACCUUUAAAGAAAAUUGAUAAAUUGGAUUGAUGGUAUUGAGUUCGUUUAGAAUGAAAUACAAUAAACUGGCUCUAGCAGCUGCUGGUCUAUAAUAUUCUCUAGCUUCGUCUAUCUGUGCCGAAGUUAUUUUAGCUUCUGCAACUUUUUCUUCGAUUUCCGCGGCGGUUCUUUUAGUAGUUUCCAGAUUUUCGACUAAAGUAGUAUCACCAAGAAGAUUUCCACCGGCUGAUGAUAGUCUAGAUAGCAGAUCGUCCUCCAAACUUUUCAAACUAAUCUUAAAAUCGUUUUGCUGCUUAGUCAAAUCGGCCUGAAAACAAUUUAAAUUUAUUAUUAUCUAUAAAUGGAUGAUAAAAUAAUUGACCUUCAAUUCUUCAAGAUCUAGUCUUUCAGCUUUGACGACUUCAGCCAGGAGCUGAUCUUCCAACCCAUCUCUCGUCACCGUGAAAUUAAUUAGGGUCGCUUGUGCCUGCAUUUCCGGUUUAUAAUGAGGAUUCGCCAACUUUGUGUGCAGUAUUAAUUGAAAAUUUGAAUUAUAUUCGAUUUCUUUAUCACCAAUUUUGAUAGCUCUACAAUAUAAUUUAUAAUUUUCAAAAUUAUAAUCAAAAACUAUUGUAAUUCAAAUUUCCCCCACUUAAUUCGUAUUCCUACCACGAGAUGGAACUAUUGAACACCGCCAAAUUAUUGACAUAAGUAAAUUAAUGUUAGAACCACGAGAUGGCGUUGGUAGGAUUAUAUAUUUACACGGGAAUUUUUGUUUUCAUUGUAAAAAGUAUAAAGAA